GACGAACGCUGGCGGCGUGCUUAACACAUGCAAGUCGAACGAGUGGCGAACGGGUGAGUAAUACGUGAGUAACCUGCCCUCUUUUUGGGAUAAGCCUUGGAAACGGGGACUAAUACCGAAUACAGGGGGAUGGGCUCGCGGCCUAUCAGCUGGUGGGGGGGGUGAUGGCCUACCAAGGCGGUGCCGGGUAGCCGGCCUGAGAGGGUGACCUGCCACCUUGGAACUGGGCUACGGCCCAGACGCCUACGGCAGUCGGCAGUGGUGGAUAUUGCACGAUGGGCGAAAGCCUGAUGCCGCGGCGCCGCGUGAGGGAUGUUGGGUUUCGGGUUGUAAACCGCUAUCGCGAUCGAACCGGUAGGUGGAGAAGAAGCGCCGGCUAACUACGUGCCAGCAGCCGCGGUAAUUC
rnacentral:rRNA from 1 species